rnacentral:rRNA from 1 species
UACGGGGGGAGCAAGCGUUGUUCGGAUUUACUGGGCGUAAAGGGCGCGUAGGCGGCCAGCGCAAGUCAGUUGUGAAAUCUCCGGGCUUAACUCGGAACGGUCAACUGAUACUGCGCGGCUAGAGUGCAGAAGGGGCAACUGGAAUUCUCGGUGUAGCGGUGAAAUGCGUAGAUAUCGAGAGGAACACCUGCGGCGAAGGCGGGUUGCUGGGCUGACACUGACGCUGAGGCACGAAGGUCAGGGGAGCAAACGGG